GACGAACGCUGGCGGCGUGCUUAACACAUGCAAGUCGAACGGAAAGGCCCUGCUUUUGUUGGGUGCUCGAGUGGCGAACGGGUGAGUAACACGUGAGUAACCUGCCCUUGACUUUGGGAUAACUUCAGGAAACUGGGGCUAAUACCGGAUAGGAGCUCCUGCUGCAUGGUGUGGGUUGGAAAGUUUCGGCGGUUUGGGAUGGACUCGCGGCUUAUCCGCUUGUUGGUGGGGUAGUGGCUUACCAAGGCUUUGACGGGUAGCCGGCCUGAGAGGGUGACCGGCCACAUUGGGACUGAGAGACGGACCAGAAUCCUACGGGAGGCAGCAGUGGGGAAUAUUGCGCAAUGGGCGGAAGCCUGAUGCAGAAACGCCGCGUGCGGGAUGACGGCCUUCGGGGUGUAAACCGCUUUCGCCUGUGACGAAGAGUGAGUGACGGUAAUGGGUAAAGAAGCACCGGCUAACUACGUG
rnacentral:rRNA from 1 species